rnacentral:lncRNA from 1 species
GCGAAAUCGGUCUUGGGAUCCCGGAGAAGACGGUGGGCGUGGCUUGAGGAAGGGCGUUUGUGAUUGGUGGGUUCUGCCGCGGCCGGGAAGUUCGAACAGAAGUCUGGGGAAGAGCCGGCGAAGAGCAAAGAGAUAAUACAGUACUCCCAGCUAUAGCAAGCGGCAGUUAUGGAGCAUGCGCAGCAGCAGGGGCGGCCGCAGGUCGCCGUUCAAUAAUACGUAAUGUAUAGACUUUUGAGUAUACGAAGCUCCCUGUUUCUCUAGGUUCACCUGAGAUUUAUCUGGUCUUUCAGGGCUUAAAAGGGAGACAUUCCCAAAGAAGAUUCCGUGGGAAGUCUCCUACAAGCCCCGAAGGAAGGGAAUCUCUCUCCUCAUACCUUGAGUUUCCUGAGUACAAUUAUUAUAGAUAUACGAAGAUCUCUGUGCUCAUGGAGAAUUUGUGUCAAGGGAUUUGUACAGCCCUGUAGGAGACACCUCCAGAGAAAGUAACAGCUCUCAAUUGAUUAGCUGAGAAGCCUCAGGGGCUGGAUCCUGACAUGAACCAGACACCUCCAGAAUUCUAUCCCAAGCAAAAGAUUAUUUCAAGGCCAGAACUCACUCCCUGCUGGAGACUGACUACAAGAUCCACUGAGAUUGAUGUGUAACCUGAUUGGGCCCACAGUGAUGCUAGCCCCUUCACCAGAUGGAACAAUAAUUCCAGACAAGCCAUCAGAGCAGAGAGCAGAGAAGAGGAGAAGCAGCUGGAUGUCAGAGACUGCAGUUUGACGUUGGAGAAAAGCAGCUUGACUUCAGAGGGACAGCUUGACAGCAUGGAUUCAGAGAGGAGAAGAUCACCUUCCUGCUCCGUCCCCUUUCCAGCUCCCUUUCCCACUGAGAGCCACUUACACAGGCAAUAAAAUCCUCUGCAUUCACCACCCUUCAA